rnacentral:rRNA from 1 species
UACGUAGGUGACCAGCGUUGUCCGGAUUUACUGGGCGUAAAGAGCGCGCAGGCGGUCGUUCAAGUCGGGUGUGAAAGCCCCCGGCUCAACUGGGGAGGGUCACUCGAUACUGAUCGACUUGAAGGCAGGAGAGGGAAGCGGAAUUCCCGGUGUAGUGGUGAAAUGCGUAGAUAUCUGGAGGAACACCGGUGGCGAAGGCGGCAUCCUGGACCGGUAUUGACGCUGAGGCGCGAAAGCCAGGGGAGCAAACGGG